AAUUGGAGGGCAAGUCUGGUGCCAGCAGCCGCGGUAAUUCCAGCUCCAAUAGCGUAUAUUAAAGUUGUUGCAGUUAAAAAGCUCGUAGUUGAAUUUCGGGAUCAAUAUUUCGGUCAUGCCGUUGGUAUGCACUGUUAUCAUUGAUUUCUCACCUUCUAAAGAACCGUAAUGCCAUUAAUUUGGUGUUACGGGGAAUUAGGACUGUUACCCUGAAAAAAUUAGAGUGUUUAAAGCAGGCUCACGCUUGAAUACAUUAGCAUGGAAUAAUGAAAUAGGACAUCCGAUUCUAUUUUGUUGGUUUCUAGGAUCGAUGUAAUGAUUAAUAGGGAUAGUUGGGGGCAUUAGUAUUCAAUUGUCAGAGGUGAAAUUCUUGGAUUUAUUGAAGACUAACUACUGCGAAAGCAUUUGCCAAGGAUGUUUUCAUUAAUCAAGAACGAAAGUUAGGGGAUCGAAGACGAUCAGAUACCGUCGUAGUCUUAACCAUAAACUAUGCCGACUAGGGAUCGGAUGAUGUUAAUUUUUUAAUGACUCAUUCGGCGCCUUACGGGAAACCAAAGUGU
rnacentral:rRNA from 1 species